rnacentral:rRNA from 1 species
AUUGAACGCUGGCGGCAUGCUUUACACAUGCAAGUCGAACGGCAGCGCGGGCUUCGGCCUGGCGGCGAGUGGCGAACGGGUGGGUAAUACAUCGGAACGUGCCCAGUAGUGGGGGAUAGCUCGGCGAAAGCCGGCGUAAUACCGCAUACGAUCUGAGGGUGAAAGCGGGGGAUCUUCGGACCUCGCGCUAUUGGCGCGGCCGAUGGCAGAUUAGCCAGUUGGUGGGGUAAAGGCCUACAAAGGCGACGAUCUGUAGCUGGCCGGAGAGGACGACCGGCCACACGGGAACUGAGACACGGCCAAGACUCCUACGGGAGGCAGCAGAGGGGAAUUUUGGACAAUGGGGGAAAGCCUGAUCCAGCAAUGCGGCGUGUGUGAUGAAGGCCUUCGGGUUGUAAAGCACUUUUGGCGGGAACGAAAAGGACUGUGCCAAUACCACGGUUCGAUGACGGUACCCGCAGAAUAAGCACCGGCUAACUACGUG